AUGUCUAUUUCUCCUCAACUCUGGCCUACUGAUGCUCACAUUUCCUAUGCUGAAAACCUGGAACUUUUGACGCCCUUAUCUGAGGUUGAGACUGAUGAAGUGGUAGCGACAUCAAAGUCUAACUCUACUCCUGGCCGGGAUGGCUUCUCUAUGUCGUUCUUCAAAAAGUUCUGGCCUGUUAUGAAAUUCCUUGUUUACGCUAUCAUCCAAGGUUUUUGCCUCGGGACGGUAGAUAUUUUUUGGCUGAACUAUGCCGUAAUUUCUCUAGUUCCUAAUGUUAAGGGUGCUGACUCCAUUCGUCAAUUUAGUCCUACUGUGCUCAUCAAUAAUAUUGUUAAGUUCCCUUCAAAAAGUUUUGAUUCUCACUUAUCCCCGGUGGCCCAUAGGGUUAUUGGGUGA
rnacentral:rRNA from 1 species